GGCAGGGUAGCUCAGUUGGUUAGAGCACGGCAUUCAUAACGCCGAGGUCAUGGGUCCGAUCCCCAUCCCUGCUACUA
rnacentral:tRNA from 3 species